CCUACGGGUGGCAGCAGUGAGGAAUAUUGGACAAUGGGCGUAAGCCUGAACCAGCCAAGCCGCGUGAGGGAUGAAGGUUCUAUGGAUCGUAAACCUCUUUUAUAAGGGAAUAAAGUGUGGGACGUGUCCUGUUUUGUAUGUACCUUAUGACUAAGGAACGGCUAACUCCGUGCCAGCAGCCGCGGUAAUACGGAGGAUCCGAGCGUUAUCCGGAUUUAUUGGGUUGAAGGGGUGCGUAGGCGGCCUUUUAAGUCAGAGGUGAAAGCCUGUGGCUCAACCAUAGAAGUGCCGUUGAAACUGGGAGGCUUGAGUCUGUUAGAGGCGGGCGGAAUGCCAGGUGUAGCGGUGAAAUGCGUAGAGAUCAGGAAGAACACCGGUGGCGAAGGCAGCCUCCCAAGCGAUGACUGACGCUGAGGCGCGAAAGCGUGGGGAGCAAACAGGAUUAGAUACCCGAGUAGUC
rnacentral:rRNA from 1 species